AAUCAACGCUGGCGGCGUGCCUCAGACAUGCAAGUCGAACGCGAAAGUCCCCUUCGGGGGGACAAGUAGAGUGGCGCACGGGUGAGUAACACGUAGGUAAUCUACCUUCGGAUGGGGAAUAACAACCGGAAACGGUUGCUAAUACCGCAUAAUGCAGCGGCACCUAAUGGUGACAGUUGUUAAAGCGGGGGAUCGUAAGACCUCGCGUCUGAAGAGGAGCCUGCGGCGGAUUAGCUAGNGGUAAGGUAAUGGCUUACCAAGGCUACGAUCCGUAACCGGCCUGAGAGGGCGGUCGGUCACACUGACACUGACAUACGGGUCAGACUCCUACGGGAGGCAGCAGUCGGGAAUUUUUGGGCAAUGGGCGAAAGCCUGACCCAGCAACGCCGCGUGAAGGAUGAAAUCCCUCGGGAUGUAAACUUCGCAAGAACGGGAAGAAUAAGCGAGAGUUAAUAU
rnacentral:rRNA from 1 species